UUUAAAUUGAGAGUUUGAUCCUGGCUCAGGAUGAAUGCUGGCGGCGUGCUUAACACAUGCAAGUCGAGCGAGAGAGUUUCUUCGGAAACAAUCUAGCGGCGGACGGGUGAGUAACACGUGGGCAACCUGCCUUGUAGUGGGGGAUAGCCCUCCGAAAGGAGGAUUAAUACCGCAUAUUGUCACAUUGAGGCAUCUCAAAGUGAUGAAAGG
rnacentral:rRNA from 1 species